rnacentral:rRNA from 1 species
AACGAACGCUGGCGGCAUGCCUAACACAUGCAAGUCGAACGAGCCCUUCGGGGUUAGUGGCGCACGGGUGCGUAACGCGUGGGAAUCUGCCCUUGGGUUCGGAAUAACAGUGAGAAAUUACUGCUAAUACCGGAUGAUGUCUUCGGACCAAGGAUUUAUCGCCCAAGGAUGAGCCCGCGUAGGAUUAGCUAGUUGGUGGGGUAAUGGCCUACCAAGGCGACGAUCCUUAGCUGGUCUGAGAGGAUGAUCAGCCACACUGGGACUGAGACACGGCCCAGACUCCUACGGGAGGCAGCAGUGGGGAAUAUUGGACAAUGGGCGAAAGCCUGAUCCAGCAAUGCCGCGUGAGUGAUGAAGGCCUUAGGGUUGUAAAGCUCUUUUACCCGGGAUGAUAAUGACAGUACCGGGAGAAUAAGCUCCGGCUAACUCCGUG